rnacentral:rRNA from 2 species
GCAGGUCGAGCGGACUUAUGGGAGCUUGCUCCCAUAAGUUAGCGGCGGACGGGUGAGUAACACGUGGGCAACCUGCCUGUAAGACUGGGAUAACUUCGGGAAACCGGAGCUAAUACCGGAUAACUCUUUCCCUCACAUGAGGGAAAGCUGAAAGAUGGUUUCGGCUAUCACUUACAGAUGGGCCCGCGGCGCAUUAGCUAGUUGGUGAGGUAACGGCUCACCAAGGCAACGAUGCGUAGCCGACCUGAGAGGGUGAUCGGCCACACUGGGACUGAGACACGGCCCAGACUCCUACGGGAGGCAGCAGUAGGGAAUCUUCCGCAAUGGACGAAAGUCUGACGGAGCAACGCCGCGUGAGUGAUGAAGGUUUUCGGAUCGUAAAACUCUGUUGUCAGGGAAGAACAAGUAUCGGAGUAACUGCCGGUACCUUGACGGUACCUGACCAGAAAGCCACGGCUAACUACGUGCCAGCAGCCGCGGUAAUACGUAGGUGGCAAGCGUUGUCCGGAAUUAUUGGGCGUAAAGCGCGCGCAGGCGGUUUCUUAAGUCUGAUGUGAAAGCCCACGGCUCAACCGUGGAGGGUCAUUGGAAACUGGGAAACUUGAGUGCAGAAGAGGAGAGUGGAAUUCCACGUGUAGCGGUGAAAUGCGUAGAGAUGUGGAGGAACACCAGUGGCGAAGGCGACUCUCUGGUCUGUAACUGACGCUGAGGCGCGAAAGCGUGGGUAGCGAACAGGAUUAGAUACCCUGGUAGUCCACGCCGUAAACGAUGAGUGCUAAGUGUUAGAGGGUUUCCGCCCUUUAGUGCUGCAGCAAACGCAUUAAGCACUCCGCCUGGGGAGUACGGCCGCAAGGCUG